AGUCCACAUUAAAAGAAAGCUUUUUAUUAGAUUUAUUUUAAGGAUACAGUAAAGUGUUAAUGGGCAGCUCAGGUUCACUACAGUAAAGUGUCGAUGGCAGCUCAGGUUCACUACAGUAAAGUGUCAAUGGGCAGCUCAGGUUCACUACAGUAAAGUGUUAAUGGGCAGCUCAGGUUCACUACAGUAAAGUGUCAAUGGGCAGCUCAGGUUCACUACAGUAAAGUGUUAAUGGGCAGCUCAGGUUCACUACAGUAAAGUGUCAAUGGGCAGCUCAGGUUCACUACAGUAAAGUGUCAAUGGGCAGCUCAGGUUCACUACAGUAAAGUGUCAAUGGGCAACUCAGGUUCACUACAGUAAAGUGUCGAUGGCAGCUCAGGUUCACUACAGUAAAGUGUCAAUGGGCAGCUCAGGUUCACUACAGUAAAGUGUUGAUGGGCAGCUCAGGUUCACCACAGUAAAGUGUUGAUGGCAGCUCAGGUUCACUACUCUGGUUAAAGUUAAUAAUGAC